UAGGGAGGCAGCAGUGGGGAAUAUUGCACAAUGGGCGCAAGCCUGAUGCAGCCAUGCCGCGUGUAUGAAAAAGGCCUUCGGGUUGUAAAGUACUUUCAGUCGUGAGGAAGGUGUUAAGGUUAAUAACCUUAGCAAUUGACGUUAGCGACAGAAGAAGCACCGGCUAACUCCGUGCCAGCAGCCGCGGUAAUACGGAGGGUGCGAGCGUUAAUCGGAAUUACUGGGCGUAAAGGGCACGCAGGCGGUUAAUUAAGUUGGAUGUGAAAUCCCCGGGCUUAACCUGGGAAUGGCAUUCAAGACUGGUUAGCUAGAGUCUUGUAGAGGGGGUAGAAUUCCAUGUGUAGCGGUGAAAUGCGUAGAGAUGUGGAGGAAUACCGGUGGCGAAGGCGGCCCCUGGGACAAAGACUGACGCUCAUGUGCGAAAGCGUGGGGAGCAAACAGGGAUUAGAUACC
rnacentral:rRNA from 1 species